rnacentral:misc_RNA from 1 species
GAUGAAGAACGUAGUGAAAUGCGAUAAGUAGUGUGAAUUGCAGAAUUCAGUGAAUCAUCGAAUCUUUGAACGCACAUUGCGCCCUAUAGUAUUCUGUAGGGCAUGCAUGUUCGAGCGUCAUUUGUACCUUCAAGCUUUGCUUGGUGUUGGGUGUUUGUCCUCUCCCUGGUGUUUGGACUCGCCUUAAAACAAUUGGCAGCCAGUGUUUUGGUAUUGAAGCGCAGCACAAUUUGCGAUUCUGGCCUUAAAAUACUAGCGUCCAUAAGUACAUUCUCACUUUUGACCUCGGAUCAUGUAGGGAUACCCGCUGAACUUAAGCAUAUCAAUAAGCGGAGGA